ACCAUAAUUUUUGUCGAGCCUGCGACUUUUGUCGCAGAAAGCUCGACAUAGGGAUAGCGAUCCGGCGGCGGCGGCGGCGGCGUUAGCUAACUUCUUAAAAGCUUUAUAUUUUAGAAGAUGGAAGACCUGGAUGCUUCAUACUUUGUAUAUGGAUGCCUCAUGUUACGAAGUUUCCGUCAGUCACAUGUCCAAUGUCCUUGACCUCAUUUUCAUGGUUCAGUGACUACUUGAAAAAAAAGCAGAUUUUUUGUAAUGUUAAAUUCUCUCUUAUUAUAAGUAAUAGGAUAACUAUAUUUGGUAUGUGCGUACCUUGCAAGGUCCUCAUGCCCGUCAGACAGUUUUCACUUGACCUCGACCUCAUUUCAUGGAUCAGUGAACAAGGUUAAGUUUUCGUGGUCAAGUCCAUAUCUCAGAUACUAUAAGCAAUAGGUCUAGUAUAUUCGGUGUAUGGAAGGACUGUAAGGUGUACAUGUCCAACUGGCAGGAGUCAUCUGACCUUGACCUCAUUUUCAUGGUUCAGUGGUCAAAGUUAAGUUUUUGAGUUUUGGUCUUUCUUUCUAAUACUGCAUGCAAUAAGUCAGCUAUAUUUGGUGUAUGGAAUGAUUGUAAGCUGUACAUGUCUAGCUGGCAGGUGUCAUCUUACCUUGACCUCAUUUUCAUGGUUCAGUGGUCAAAGUUAAGUUUUUGAGUUUUGGUCUUUUUUUCUAAUACUAUAUGCAAUAGUUCAACUAUAUUUGGUGUAUGGAAAUAUUUUAUGAUCUAUAUGUCAGUCACGCAGGUUUUAUUUGACCUUGACCUCAUUUUCAAGGUUCAUUGCUCAGUGUUAAGUUUUUGUGUUUUCGUCUGUUUUUCUUAAACUAUAAGCAAUAGGUCAACUAUAUUUGUUGUAUGGAAGAAUUGUUAGCUGUACAUGCCUGCCUAGCAUGGUUCAUCUGAC